rnacentral:rRNA from 1 species
GUGCAGCAGUCGCGAAAACUUCACAAUGUGCGAAAGCACGAUGAGGGAAUCCCAAGUGCUUGCACGUAAGUGUAAGCUGUUUCUCUGUCUAAAACGCAGAGAGAGUAAGGGCUGGGUAAGACGGGUGCCAGCCGCCGCGGUAAUACCUGCAGCUCGAGUGGUGACCGUUAUUAUUGGGCCUAAAACGUCCGUAGCCGGUUUAAUAAAUGCCUGGGUAAAUCGGACCGCUUAACGGUUCGAAUUCCGGGUAGACUGUUAAACUUGAGACCGGGAGAAGUUAGAGGUACUCCUGGGGUAGAGGUGAAAUUCUGUAAUCCUAGGGGGACCACCAGUGGCGAAGGCGUCUAACUAGAACGGGUCUGACGGUGGGGGACGAAGCCCUGGGGCGCAAACGGGAUUAGAUACCCCCGUAGU